GUCCACGCAGUAAACGAUGAUUACUAGGAGUUUGCGAUACAAUGUAAGCUCUACAGCGAAAGCGUUAAGUAAUCCACCUGGGGAGUACGCCGGCAACGGUGAAACUCAAAGGAAUUGACGGGGGCCCGCACAAGCGGAGGAACAUGUGGUUUAAUUCGAUGAUACGCGAGGAACCUUACCCGGGUUUGAACGUAGUCUGACCGGAGUGGAAACACUCCUUCUAGCAAUAGCAGAUUACGAGGUGCUGCAUGGUUGUCGU
rnacentral:rRNA from 1 species